rnacentral:rRNA from 1 species
AUGCACUGGAUGGUCUGGUGGAAAAUGUGUGUACCAAAAAACCAAGGUGGAAUGGGAUUCCGUGAUAUCCAUUGUUUCAACCUGGCUUUGCUCGCCAAACAAGCAUGGCGUCUUAUAGAUAAUCCUGAUUCCUUGUGUGCCACUAUUCUGAGGGCCAAGUACUACCCUGAUGGCGAUUUGCUGAAGUCUAAGUCAAAGCGUGGCGCUUCUUUCACCUGGCAGAGCAUUAUGGCAGGUAUAACUACUCUGAAACGUGGCUAUAUUUGGCGAGUGGGUAAUGGACAUAACAUCAAUAUCUGGAAAGAUGCCUGGAUCCCAAACUGUGUCACUAGGAAGAUUGUGACCCCUAGGGGGAGCCAUUUGCUAUCAAAAGUGAGUGACUUGAUUGACCCUGCUUCCAACAAUUGGGACGAGGAACUGAUUAGACAAACUAUGUGGCCCAUUGACGCACAACGAAUUCUUUCAAUCCCACUUUCGCAAUAUGAUAUGACAGAUUUCAUUGCCUGGAGUUACACAAAAAAUGGUAUAUUCUCGGUAAGGUCUGCUUACUCGGUGGAAUGGAAUUAUCAGUAUGAGAGUAGACUCAAAUAUUCUAAUGGGAUGGGCCGAAGCAUACCAAAUCCUAUUUGGUGUCAGAUAUGGAAGUUAGCCUGCCCAGCAAAGGUAAAAAAAAUUAUAUGGCGUACAUUACAUGGCACUCUCCCAUGCCGGGUAACACUCGCUAAUAGACACAUGAAGGUCUCGCCCUCUUGCCCGACUUGCUCUCGGGGUUUAGAAGAUACGAAACACAUGCUUUUCCUCUGUAGUAAAGCAAAGGAGGUUUGGAAGAGACUAGGGAUGGAUGUGAUAAUUGGUAAAGCUUGUGAGGUUGAUCUUGCCGGGGAGGCAAUAUUGGAAUACCUUUUACUUCUUCCAGACCAAGACUUGAGUAUUAUGGGGUACCAAAAUGUACGUGAAAUGAUAGCUAUUUCAGCUUGGUACCUAUGGUGGGAAAGACGAAAGUUAGUGCAUAAGGAAUUAACUCAGAAUGCAAAUCAGAUAGCAAUGGGGAUCAUAGCUCUCACAUCCAACUUUGUAAAUGCAUCAUCUCCAAAGGCGACGAUGAAAAAGGGGGGUUGGUACUGUCCUCCUAGGGGUUUUGUGAAACUUAAUGUUGACGCCUCUUUUGAUCAUGAUAUGUUGAAGGGUACGAUGGUGGCAGUUUUAAGAGACCAUAAAGGUAGGUUCAUUGCAGGAGGAAAUGGAAAGAUUGACUAUUGUGCGGAUGUUUUGAUGGCUAAAGCUUUAGCUCUCAAGUUUGGCCUAACAAUGGCGCAAAGGAUGGGGUGUAACCGCCUAAUCAUCAACUCAGACAACAUGGAGGUGGUUGAGACCAUGCAGGAAGGAGGACAAUCAACGGGGGCGGCGGCAGCAGUCUUCGAGGAUUGUUACCACUACGCCUGUGAUUUUGUCACGACUAGAUUCGAACAUUGUAAUAGAGAGGCAAAUAAAGUAGCUCAUGAACUUGCUAGAUUAGCUAGAUUUUCUUCGACUUCCGACUGGUUUGAGGAACCUCCAAAUGAAAUUGUAAUGAUCCUCACAAAC